AAGGCAGUCUUCAUGGAAUGAAUGAUGGGUUAGAUUGUGUGCCUUUCUUUCUUCCUGGUCUUGGUAAGCAGUUACCAUCUGUGAUAUAUAUUUACAUUAUUUGCUCCCUCAGCUUGUUAAAUCUGACACUUGGUUUCGCUGCAGGAGCUAGACAGAGAGUGGGUCUUGAUCACCGGUUCAGUGGAUUUAUUUAUUAUGGAUUAGAUCGGCGUUCAUGCGCACCUUUCCUGUUCAAUUUGUUUGCAUUGGUCACCUACUAGAAGAGGAGUUUCAUCAUGGAACCAUAUGAAACGGUAUGCUACUAUACUCCAAAUUCAUGUAACCGUAAGCAUUGUUAUUUUUGAUUGAUGAAACAAGUUCUGAGACACCACUGCACUCUACUAGUAGCUGGAGCAUAUGUCCACCAAACAUUUAUCGAGUUAUUAUUCAUACACCAUACCAGAGCACGCAUUCAUAUCUGUUUACUUUGUUGUUGUUAUCAAUUGAAGCUUCAACGAGUUGAUGUGCCCUUACUUUGCUUCCUGCUGCCUCCACUUCAGGGUCACAUAUUCAGUGCAGGAGACAUUAACACCGCC
rnacentral:lncRNA from 1 species